AUGACUUGCAUCAUUUAAUAUCCCCGCCUUUUUGUGUCUUUUUUGUUGUUGCCCAUUCCGCCCCCUCCUCUGGUUGGAGGACCUGGUGGAAAACAUUACAAUCCAAUAUACAGUACCAGUCAAAAGUUUAGACACAUCUACUCAUUCCAGGGUUUUCUUUAUGUUAACUAUUUUCUACAUUGUAGAAUAAUAGUGAAGACAUCAACACUAUGAAAAACACAUAUGGAAUCAUGUAGUAACCAAAAUAUAUUUUAGAUUUCAGAUUCUUCAAAGUAGCCGCCCUUUGCCUUGAUGACAGCUUUGCACAAUGUUGGCAUUCUCUCAACUAACUUCAUGAGACAGUCACUUGGAAUGCAUUUCAAUGAACAGGUGUUGAUUUGUGGAAUUUCUUUCCUUCUUAAUACAUUUGAGCCAAUCAGUUGUGUUGUGACAAGGUAGGAGUGGUAUACAUAAGAUAGCUCUAUUUGGUAAAAGAACAAGAUCAUAUUAUGGCAAGAACAGCUCAAAUAAGACAUGAAGUUCAAUCAAUCCAGAAUAUUUUUUUCUUCAAGUGGAGUCGCAAAAACCAUCAAGCGCUAUGUUGAAACUGGCUGUCAUGAGGACCGCCACAGGAAAGGAAGACCCAGAAUUAUCUCUGCUGCAGAGGAUUAGUUCAUUAGAGUUACAGGCCUCAGAAAUUGCAGUCCAAAUAAAUCCUUCACAGAUUAAGUAACAGACACAUCUCAAUAUUAACUGUUCAGAGACUGUGUGAAUCAGGCCUUCAUGGUUUAAUUGCUGCAAAGAAAUCCCUAUUGAAGGAAACCAAUAAGAAGAAGAGACUUGCUUGGGCCAAGAAACACAAUCAAUGGACAUUAAACUGGAGGAAAUCUGUCCUUUAGUCUGAUGAGUCCAAAUUUGAGAUUUUUGGUUCGAACCGACGUGUCUUUGUGAGAUACAGAGUAGGUGAAUGGAUGAUCUCCUCAUGUGUGGCUCCCACCGUGAAGCAUGGAGGAGGAGGUGUGAUGGUGUUUUGCUGGUGACACUGUCUGUGAUUUAUUCAGAAUUCAAGGCACACUUAACCAGCAUGGCAACCACAUCAUUCUGCAGCGAUAGACCAUUUGUGCACUUAGUGGGACUAUCAUUGGUUUUUCAACAGGACAAUGACCCAACACAUCUCCAGGCUGUGUAAGGGCUAUUUGAGCAAGAAGGGGAGUGAUGGAGUGCUGCAUCAGAUGACCUGGCCCCUACAAUCACCCACCCUCAACCCAAUUAAGAUUGUUUGGGAUGAAUUGGACUGCAAAGUGAAUGAAAAGCAGCCAACAAUUGUUCCGCAUAUGUGGGAACUCCUUCAGGACUGUUGGAAAGUAAUUCCAGGUAAAGCUGGUUGAGAGAAUACCAAGAGUGUGCAAAGCUGUCAUCAAGGCAAAGGGUGGCUACUUUAAAUAAUCUAAAAUAUAUUUUUAUUUGUUUAACACUUUUUUGGUUACUACAUGAUUCCAUAUGUGUUAUUAUAUUAUAUUAUGUGUUAUGAUGUCUUCAAUAGUAUUCUACAAUGUAGAAAAUAGUUUUUUUGAAUGAGUAGGUUUGUCCAAACUUUUGACUGGUACUAUAUAUAUAUAUAUAUUUAUAUACAUCUAAAGCCUCUUCAACAGAAAAUCUCUAGUGUCCUCCCUUGGAAUAAAAUGAUGUUACAGUAGACAAGAGAUGUAGGACAGUGAAGGGGAAAUCAUGCUGUUUACUCACCUUUCUGUUUUGUGAACACAGUUUAUACCAUAUUGUGUCAAAUUUGCGUUCGUGUCAAAUUAGCAUUUGCAUCAAAUUAGUGUUUUUGUCAAAUGAAUGCCAGGAUAGUGGGUUCGUUUCCCAGGACCACGUGUAAGUAAAAUGUAUGCAUGACUAAGUGUCAUUAGAUAAAAGCAGCAGCUUAAUGACAUACUGUAUGUUGUAUUAUAAACUGGCAUUUGUAGCAUUAGUGCAUACCUUAGUUACCAAGCACUUGGCCAAACUCUCUGUCAAUGCCCAGGGGCCAGUGAAAAAUACAUUUUAACACCAGCACAGUGAUUCAGCUUGAGUCAGAACAGGAAGCAGUUAACCCCUCGAGUGUUAGGUCAAAAGGAUUAGCAGCGGUGAAUUCCAAACUCAUUUAGGGAAGUGAGCUAAAGGUCCAUCUCUUCCCCAGGAGCAUGUUUCCAGACAUCUCGGCGGAAACUAGUCACUAGAGGUGAAAGAGAUUCGCAACCUCGUUGGGAAUCCAAUUAACACUCCAACAUGGCUGCCUAAUCCCGGUCCGUGGAGGUGUCCUACAUGCAUUUUUAACCUCUACCCACGCAACACUUUUGGGGAGUUUUACUAAAGUUGGGCAUUUCUGUGUAUAAUUCUUGAAAAUAGUACAGAUUUACAGGACCAGCACGUGGGUAAAUAGGAUGUGACAAUAAAUUCAACCGCACUUGUGUUUUAUCACAAAACCGGAUAGCAACCUCUGUCCACAAAGCAUAUUGCAUGUAGAGGUAACAGACAGUUACAAGAUCUAAAAGCAUAGUCAAGCAAGUUAAUGUUUCUGACAUUUUCGGACCACUAAACAACUACUGUCGCAAUGAAAACAGGAGCUGCCUCCACUAUUCCAGCACCAUUUCAACAUCAUCAAAUCACAUCUGCUUAGUGUAAUACAGUGACAACUAAAAGAUACCAAAAACAAAUUAUUACAAUCAACGUAAGCUAAAUAUGGUUUGACUGUCAAUGGUUCUGAUUUCUCUCUCUCUCUGUGUGUGUGUGUGUGUGUGUAUGUGUGUAAUGAUUGGCUGUUAUUUGAUACUUUUUUAUCAAGGGAGGCCAAAUGCUCACUGGCUUCCCUUGCAUUUAAUGCUACAGGCGGGAACAAUGUCAUACUCUUUUUGACCAGACAGCAUCAGAUAGAUGGGCUACACAUACAGAGACAGAGGGGCGCUGUUUCGCUCACUUGGAUGCUUUCUCCGGUGAGAUACAUUCAGCCUGUUGUGAAUUGAAGGAAAAUUACGAAACACAGAUAGACAAAAGAUGAAUUAUUAUAUAUGUAGUUAGAGUAUACUGUUAGAUUUUUCUUUGAUGCCCCCCUUUGACAUUGAGCUUUUUAGAUCUAUGUUAAAAAAAUAUGACGCCAUGUUAGUGUUUGAGACAUGUACAGUAAAGAGAGGUGGAAAGGAUUGGUCGAUCUGUAUAAAUCUCAUGACCAUAAAUGGAGCUCUUUAGAUAGGAGGAUGGGCUCAUUGCAAUGGCUGGAAUGGAAUAAAUGGCACUGUAUAAAACAUAUGGAAACCACACAUUUGACUCCAUUCCAUUAAUUCCAUUCCAGCCAUUACAAUCAGCCCGUCCUCCUAUAGCUCCUCCCACUAGCCUCUACUGGUGUGCAUAGUGUUACAUAGUACUCCUCCCUCCCCCCUGGCCUAGGACACUCUAAUAAGGAACCAAAGAUUGAUUACAUCACAUACAUACAUACACACACACAGACGAACACACACACACACACACACACACACACACAGACAAACACACACAGGCACACAGACAAACACACACACACACAUAGGCACACAGACAACACACACACACAGAAAGGCAUACACACACACAAACACUCCAGUCUUCCCCAGUGUGAUCGUUCAUGGCAGAGUAAAUCACUCAUUCUUCCCCUCUUGGGUAAUUCCAUGGGUGAAAUGAACUGAGGGGCCUUGGGAGAUCAGCAAGUCAUUGUUUAUUGUCAGGCUCCACUUCUUCCCCUCACACUUUGGUGGAAAUCCGGUUUCUCUCUCCGCUCCUUGUAGAGCGCACAGACAGACAGACAGACAGACAGACAGACAGACAGACAGACAGACAGACAGACACCGACAUUCACAGACACACAAAUACACACACAAACAGACACACACACACAACCACACAUUCCGACACACACACACACACACACACACACACACACACACACACACACACACACACACACACACACACACACACACACACACACACACACACACACACACACACACACACACACACACACACACACACACACACACACACGUGAGAGCACACAGAAAAAAGAGAUUUGUAUCAGUGAAGUGUCAUAUGUCCGUCAAGAGGGUGUGUUUGUAUGCCAUGUUGUAUGCUUUGUUGUCACACUGAAUGAAGGAUGUCUCCCCAGACUGCCGUGAAUGAAGGAUGUCUCCCCAGACUGCCGUGAAUGAAGGAUGUCUCCCCAGACUGCCGUGAAUGAAGGAUGUCUCCCCAGACUGCCGUGAAUGUUUGGCCACGUUGCUUUUGCAUUCCAUAGGAGAUGAGUAUGGAAUUAGGGAAGACUAGACCGUGUUUGCAGCUACAGUGAGUGUGAGAUGUAGACCUUUUCAAGUCAUAUUUAUGCUUUCCAUGGUGACAGUUGAACAGAUCAAAUUUCCGUCCGUCGCUCAUGACCAUAGAGAAGGACGAAGGGGGCAUUUUUUGGGCCCAAAAUGACUGUUUUCUUUUAAACUAAUUAGAAGCUAAAUUGACAACAGAAUAUUUGCUUCAUUUGCAUAUACCAUUCUUUGAUUUAAUAACAGCGCCACAAUUAAUUUUGGCAUUACAGUAGAUUGCAACAUUUGAAUGAUAUUUACAGAGUUGUAAGGGGAACCUACCACAUGAGUGUGCUGGAGUGACCUUAGAUAUUCCCCUUUUGUCACCGUCUGAACGAAAGGACAACGUGUCUACAAUCCAAUAGCCCUUGCCACCUCAAAUUAAUUCAACCCUCUACUUAAUCAAGGAAAGAGAGAGAGAGAGAGAGAGAGAGAGAGAGAGAGAGAGAGAGAGAGAGAGAGUAGAAAGUCUGGCUGCCUGCCACAAUAUCUAGAGUGGAUGCACACCUUAAGUUAGUCAAUGAUCUCAUACUUGGCACAAGAAGGGUGAAUAGAUGGGAUGUUCUGUGCUCUGCUUCUCUCAAGUCUUCCUCAGAGUGACUAGGAGAACAAGUCCCUUGACCCUCAUAGGAAUCAAUAGGAAGGAGGGCAGCUGGGAGCAGGAAGAAUACGUCAACUGUUUAUGCUUUGUCAGACAGCAGACCGUUUCCGGCUGCGUUGUGGGUUGAGGGACGAGCGUCGUGUAGGAGUGACGCCAAAUUGACGUAAGACAGUGCUGUUCAUCAUGUUUCAAAUGUUUCCAUAGUGACUGACAGGAAGUGGUGUUUUUUGAGGGGUGUUGAAUCGAUCAGUCAUUGUCCAAAGUGACACCUACGCCAUUAUAUCAUCAAUGUCAGCGUGGAGCUUAUCAAUUCAUCGUUGCUCUCGCUUUCUGCCCACACACCACACACACACACACACACACACACACACACACACACACACACACACACACACACACACACACACACACACACACACACACACACACACACACACACACACACACACACACACACACACACACACACACACACACACACACACACACACACACACACACACACACACACACACACACACACACACACACACACACACACACACACACACACACACACACACACACACACACACACACACUUCUGUCUUUUGUAGUGCCUUGUCUCGGCCAGAAGUUGGCCUUGAGGCCUGUUUCACUGGCUUAAUCUCCCACACAGACUAGCGGUGAGCAUUCAUCUGAGUGAUCUCACAUUGACUACUGCUCUCUCUUCUACCUGACUUGUGUUUGACAACAUCAAUGUAUGACUAUCACUGUGCAAGUAAAUAUCUGGCUAACUUGUCUGUUCUUUCUUCAUUUGACAGUCAGUUGUUUUUAGCUUGGAAUCCGGCUUGAGUAAAAGCACACACUGAGCCUACCAGCCUAAAUGAAUACAGUUGUCCCAGUUACUACUGUUGACUUGCUGCCAUCUAGUGGACCCAGCAAAGGACUGCAGUUACUACUGUUGACUUGCUACCAUCUAGUGGACCCAGCAAUCGACUGCAGUUACUACUGUUGACUUGCUACCAUCCAGUAGCCCUGGCAAUGGACUGCAGUUACUACUGUUGACUUGCUACCAUCCAGUUGCCCUGGCAAUGGACUGCAGUUACUACUGUUGACUUGCUACCAUCCAGUAGCCCUGGCAAUGGACUGCAGUUACUACUGUUGACUUGCUACCAUCCAGUUGCCCUGGCAAUGGACUGCAGAUACUACUGUUGACUUGCUACCAUCCAGUAGCCCUGGCAAUGGACUGCAGGUACUACUGUUGACUUGCUACCAUCCAGUAGCCCUGGCAAUGGACUGCAGUUACUACUGUUGACUUGCUACCAUCCAGUAGCCCUGGCAAUGGACUGCAGUUACUACUGUUGACUUGCUACCAUCCAGUAGCCCUGGCAAUGGACUGCAGUUACUACUGUUGACUUGCUACCAUCCAGUAGCCCUGGCAAUGGACUGCAGUUACUACUGUUGACUUGCUACCAUCCAGUAGCCCUGGCAAUGGACUGCAGUUACUACUGUUGACUUGCUACCAUCCAGUAGCCCUGGCAAUGGACUGCAGUUACUACUGUUGACUUGCUACCAUCCAGUAGCCCUGGCAAUGGACUGUAGUCUCAUGUGAAUCUGUUACACCGUAUGUAAGUGAUUGGGACUUGUUUUUUUCCUUCGAAUUUUGAAUUUGAUGUGGUGUGGUAUGUCUCUGGUUCCAAAAACCUAUGUUUGUGGCUUGUGCUUUUUAUUACAAGCACGCUCGACUGCUGUAAUGCUCUCCUGUCUUCUCUAACCAAGAAAGCCAUUGGUCAACUACAAAACAUACAGAAUGCUGCAGCACGGGUACUGACCAAGACCAGACGGAGAGCCCACAUUACACCGGUCUUAAGGUCUCUGCACUGGCUGCCUGUGAGUUUUACAAUUCAUUUGAAGAUUCUUCUAUUGGUUUUUAAAUCAAUCCACGAUUGUGCACCCAAGUACAUGUCAGACAUGCUUUUAAGUUAUGUACCCAGUAGGUCCCUCAGGUCCUCUGGCACUGGCCUUUUAACUAUCCCAAAGCCUCGGACCAGGAGGCAUGGAGAGGCAGAAAUGAGUUACUAUGCCCCCAGCCUCUGGAAUAGCCUGCCAGAGAACCUGAGGCGGGCUGAAACUGGACAUAUUUAAAAGAGGUCUUAAAACACACCUUUUUAACUUUGCUUUUCCUUAGGGUGCUUUUUAGUUGUUCAGUUUUUAUUGUUAUUCCUUUGUUUUUGUCCUGUGAAGCACAUUGCGUUGCAAUCCAUUUCUUUAAAUGUGCUGUAUAAAUAAAGCUUGAUAUGAUUUGUGGGUAUUGUUCAUUUAGGGCUGUGUUGGAAACUACUACUGUAUCUUCUUCCCAAAGGUUAAUGGAAGGACAGACAACUACUUUACUUAACAUAGAUAAGCAUCUACACGAACACCAACCACCACACACACACACACAGGUGGGCACCGGUAGGUCCCCUGGGAGGCACACACACUGGUGAACCUUCAUAGAGGUCUAAUGUGUGCCUUUCUGAAUAAACACUGAACAGGGGGACAAACACUCACACACACCUGACACCACAUUGACUGACAUGAACCUGUCAACACUUCCCUCUCACCAGCGGGCCUCUGGCUAUUAUUGGCCUGGGUGUCUCUCAUACUCGGCAUGACUGUGUCUGGGUGACAACAGCCAGGCGACCCACGCAGGCCAACAAAGUGAAUGAUGUGCUCCAGCUCCAGUGUUUGUUUCCAAGGUUGGAUUAGACUCAGAGAACAACAGAGCUAAAAAUACAAGGUGACUGAGGAUUUGAUGCAGGGGGGCAGGCUUUAAGAUUCACCAUCUGUUGACAACUGAACUCACAACACCCACCAAUUGUUUCUGCUUCUUAUUAGGCUGGUGUAGCUGUCUCGUGUGUCCAAUAAGCUACCAGAAGUUAUGCUGUGAUUGUGAGUUGAGGGAUAGAGUUUCUUGCAUUUCAUUCCUAUUCCUUUAGAAGACUAAAGCGGUCCAACAGUGGGUGUACGACAGUGCUGAUGAAGCCUUUGGCCAGGUCAUCCAGAAGAUCACUACUUUAUCAUAUUAAAGUGGUUCCUGGGACAUGAAACACUGUGCUGCUGGAUCACAACCUUUUGACUGAAGGUCAAUGUCAAAGUGUUUUUCCCUCGCCUGUAGGCAACUUCCAUUUGAAGUUUACAAAGUAGCAGAUGAAUAACCCCUAGUAUCGCCCAACCCCUUGUUUUUCAAUGGCAUUGUCAAUCUAUCGUUUGCCAAAUCCAUCAACACUGUCAACCCAAAUUACAAAAAAUGACAUAUCGGUUUCCAAACCAAUAUGAUUGCUGUCAUACCGUGUCUAUAGACUUCUUACAGGGUAAGGAACAACAUGUAAUUUUGUAAUUUGGGUGAACUAUCCCUUUAAGCUGCUACCCAUGGCCAUUCAUGCCUCUAUUAGAUCACUGAGUACCAGACAAUAGAAAAUAGACACUGAUGUGAGUUCGCAUUACAAACCAAGGACAUCCUUUGGUGAUUCAUGUUUUAUAAUGCCAUAAAUAAAAGACACAUACAUCUAAUCUUCCAUAAUAAAUAGCAAUAGUGAGAUAUGCACCACACACAGCUUUUCAAGAAGUGGUUAACUGUCCCAGCGUGAUAGGCUAAGUCGUCAAUGACAGGGUGGAGAGAUCAUGUGCGAGGAUGUCAGCGAGGGGUUAAAUCAUGCUGCUUUACCAUUGACAUCAGCCCUGAGGGAGUCCGAGUCCGAGAGAGCAACAUGUUGCUU